UCCCUAGUGGCUCAGAGGCUAAAACGUCUGCCUGCCAUGCAGGAGACCCGGGUUCAAUUCCUGGGUUGGGAA
rnacentral:tRNA from 1 species